GACGAACGCUGGCGGCGUGCUUAACACAUGCAAGUCGAACGGAAAGGCCCCCUUGUGGGGUACUCGAGUGCGAACGGGUGAGUAACACGUGAGUAACCUACCCUUGACUUUGGGAUAACUUCAGGAAACUGGGGCUAAUACCGGAUAGGAGCUCCUGCUGCAUGGUGGGGGUUGGAAAGUUUCGGCGGUUGGGGAUGGACUCGCGGCUUAUCAGCUUGUUGGUGGGGUAGUGGCUCACCAAGGCUUUGACGGGUAGCCGGCCUGAGAGGGUGACCGGCCACAUUGGGACUGAGAUACGGCCCAGACUCCUACGGGAGGCAGCAGUGGGGAAUAUUGCACAAUGGGCGGAAGCCUGAUGCAGCAACGCCGCGUGCGGGAUGACGGCCUUCGGGUUGUAAACCGCUUUCGCCUGUGACGAAGCGUGAGUGACGGUAAUGGGUAAAGAAGCACCGGCUAACUACGUG
rnacentral:rRNA from 1 species